AUCACCUUCCUUACUUAACUCCCUCCAAAAGCAGAAAUUUGUCUUUCAUAUACCUGGUUUCAGCACGAUGAACAUUUUGUUCUUGGAAGUGAAAAUCAUGUUCACUUUUUUCGCAGAUGUUGUGCUUGUAACAAGAUAAUGGUUAUGUUUCUCUUUUCCUGAUUCAUGGCUUUCAUCAGGUGGUGCUGUCCCAGGAAGCAUUCCCUACAAGAGCUUUAUAUUUUCAUGGCCAAAGGAAUACUUUUCAGAAUGAUGAGAUUGUGGUUUUGCUGAAUGGUGACCACUGUUUUUGUGACUCUCAUGGUUGAUGUUGGCAGAAGAUAACUUCAUCUGUGGCUUUCAGCAUUUGUCAUUGGCAAACUCAUCAAUUAUCAAAUCUGACAGACAAUAUUUGUAUCUUAUAAGGUAAUGAACUAAAGUUAGAAUCCAAAAUCAAUAAUAUAUAUUUUAAAUCUGUUAAAGAUAAUAUUUUUAAAUAUUACCCGUUUUGAAGUUU